rnacentral:rRNA from 2 species
UGGGGAAUCUUGCGCAAUGGGCGAAAGCCUGACGCAGCGACGCCGCGUGCGGGAUGACGGCCUUCGGGUUGUAAACCGCUUUCAGCAGGGACGAGGCCGCAAGGUGACGGUACCUGCAGAAGAAGCCCCGGCUAACUACGUGCCAGCAGCCGCGGUAAUACGUAGGGGGCGAGCGUUAUCCGGAUUCAUUGGGCGUAAAGCGCGCGUAGGCGGCCAGUUAGGUCGGGAGUCAAAUUUCGGGGCUCAACCCCGUCUCGCUCCCGAUACCGGCUGGCUUGAGUGUGGUAGGGGAAGGCGGAAUUCCCGGUGUAGCGGUGGAAUGCGCAGAUAUCGGGAAGAACACCGGUGGCGAAGGCGGCCUUCUGGGCCAUCACUGACGCUGAGGCGCGAAAGCUAGGGGAGCAAACAGG